GGCUGGUUAGCUCACUUGAUUAGAGCAUGGUGCUCAUAACACCAAGGACAAGGGUUCAGAUCCCCUUACCAGCCA